AAUAUUGGGACAUAUAAAAAAAGACAACUCUGUUCCGCAGAGUAGCUGUUGACAUUAUAGUUGCACAGGCACUUUGUUGACGCUAGAGAACCUCGGGCCAAUCGCACAUCCCCGUGAUGGUGACUUUGCAUUCGAUGUCAUCCAUAUCAGGUUUCUGCACCUACCAUGGUGACCAUGGGUAACGGGGAAUCAGGGUUCCAUUCUGUACAGGGACCCUGAGAAACAGCUACCACAUGUAAAGAAGACAGCAGGCAAGCAAAUGACCAACUCCAGACGCGGGAAGGUAGUGA